CGGGGAAGAAGGAGGGGCCCGCCCCGUGAGACUGCGGCCAGGUCCUGCCCACGUGCCUGCUCUGCUGGGCUUGCAGCCAGGCCACCUCCCUGGCCCGGACCCCUCAGGGCCUCUGGACAGGGGCUGCAGGCUGCCUCUGGACUCUGCUCCUGGACUGGCCUCUGCUGGACGGCGGCGCCCUGCACCUCAACAGCCAGCCACACCAGGCAUGGCCGUCACCUACAGGUGAAGCUACAAAUUUAACCUCAUAUAAGGGAAUAUAACCAUGGCCAAGGAGCGAGGCAAGGCUUUUUAAACAACAUGUCAACAGCACAAAUCAGAGGCAAGUGAGAACCAAGUUUUAAAAAGAUGAAUGUGGUAUAAUCAGCAUUAAAGUUUCCUGUUCGGUCUGGGACUCCUUGGACCAAGCAUUACUGGGAGGCAACCUGAAUGCCCUCGGUGUGAGCGUGGAAAGAUGGCAGCUUCAAGGCUGGGCUCCGCAGUGGGGCAGGCCCCGCCCUGGACGAGCACGCGGCCACACAGAGGGUCCUCUUGAGCACGGUGACUCCCGUACCCGUAACAGUCAGGCCGAUUCUUCAAGAAAACAUACAAACUAAAAGAUGUCAAACACAGCAAAUUGGCUGCCCAUGGAGAAGGGUGGGAACCAAGAGAGGCACUGGCAGGAAAGGGGACCAGUCGGCUCCUCCCCAAUAGCACAAACAAUAAAGAGGAAAAACACGAUACUAUUUUAGGAAUGGAGGUAAGUACGUGAGUGGAGAUUCCAGCAUCAUUUGAAGAUGACCAGGCAGCCCGCAGCAGUGGGGACCUCAGCGGCCCUCUGUGAACCCAGGGUCCCAAACACGCAUCGGGAGACCCAGCAGUGGAUCCUGACAGGUACAUCACACCUGGAGUGGGAAAUGCCUCUCUCUUCAAGAAGCCGUGAAACCUCUUCUUUAACUUGAACUUAUGUCAAAUCCCAAGAACACUUAGACCAUAUUCUCCAGCCAAAAUCCACAAAAGGAAGAAAAUAAUAGCAAUUGUAGAAGCAGAAACCCUAACAUCCUGAAUAACAAGUAAGCAAACAAAAUGCCUCUUGAACAAUUCUUGGGUCAAGUGGGACAACAGAGUCCAAAUUUCAGAACCACCACAAAUAACAAUUAUGGAAUAUGAUCUAUCAGAACCCGAACAAUGUGACUAAAACUGUCUCAGAGAAAAAUUCACAGCGAUAACAAUUACGUUAGCAACAACCAAAUACAAACAAGUAAAUUAUUCAUUCAACUGACAAAAUUAGACUCAAGAAAAUAAAAAGAACAGGAUAAAUGUAAGAACCAAGAAGAAGAAAAUAAGAUGGUAAAAGUGUGUGAUUUGAAGCAGGAGACUCAAAAGCGUGCUCGUGUGGUGGGCCUUUGAAAUUCACCAGUGAAUAAGCCUGUGUCUACCCUAAUUCAGGAACUGUGAGGACGGCAUGGACACACACGUGCACACGAGUCUAACGACAUGGGAAACAGUUACGACAGAAGCACACACAAGUGCAUAAUUUACAGAUUCCAUGCAAAUACUUUAAAUUCUAAAUAAUAUGGGUGAUUAUCCCAGGCAAAUAUGAAUUGCCCCAACUAACCAAAAGGAAACAGAAAAGUAAGCAGACUAUUAUUAACCGCAGAAGAAAUUGAGAAAUCUAUUAAAACCCAGCCCACUCACCUCCGAAAUUCUACGCCCAGAUAAAUCACAAAUUCACUAAUUCAAAAUGCUGGUGCACCAAUCUUUACAAUAUGAUUAAAAUUUCCUAUUCAUGAGCAUAAAGAAAGAAAACCCUGUGUUCUUCUUAGGAUUCCAGCAUAAUAUUUGCACCAAAACAUUGAAAAGUUGCACAUACACAUGAAAUGAAACAUACCAGCUAUGGUAAUAACGUCCUCACACAUUACUUCAUGUGGCAGAUUAAAGACUCACACGUGUAACGACCACCUCUCGGCUUCAGUUGAGGUUUCCAAGCACUUUAAAACAAGUUCAGUAUUAGGAAAUCUACCAAUAUAAUUCAAUGAAAUAAUACAUCACAAAACAACCACUUCACCAGGGCAGGAAAGGCAGACAGCGUGAGCCACAGAGCAGCCAGCCAUGACGGAACCAUGUGCCAUCACACUUCUGCCCCUGGGGGACCCCGGAACCCCAGAAAUCAACCCUAAACCAGGCCCACCCAUCCCAGCAGCACCCAGGGAGGCCUGGACGGUCACCAC
rnacentral:lncRNA from 1 species